GUCCACGCCCUAAACGAUGGCAACUAGUUGUUGGAGGAUGAACUCCUUUAGUAACGCAGCUAACGCGUGAAGUUGCCCGCCUGGGGAGUACGGUCGCAAGAUUAAAACUCAAAGGAAUUGACGGGGGCCCGCACAAGCGGUGGAUGAUGUGGUUCAAUUCGAUGCAACGCGAAAACCUUAACCUACCCUUGACAUGUCAGGAAGCCCGAUGAAAGUAGGGUGUGCCCGAAAGGGAGCCUGAACACAGGUGCUGCAUGGCUGUCGU
rnacentral:rRNA from 1 species